GACGAACGCUGGCGGCGUGCCUAACACAUGCAAGUGGAGCGACGAACCAGGCUUCGGCCUGGGGCAAAGCCGCGAACGGGUGAGUAACACGUGGGUAACCUGCCCUGAUGAUUGGGACAACCCGAGGAAACUCGGGCUAAUACCGAAUGUGCCCUCCGGCCUCAAGGCCGCUGGGGAAAGGAAGCUUCGGCCUCCGCAUCGGGAUGGGCCCGCGGCCCAUUAGCUUGUUGGUGAGGUAACGGCACCAAGGCGACGAUGGGUAGGCUGGUCUGAGAGGA
rnacentral:rRNA from 1 species